AUUGAACGCUGGCGGCAUGCUUUACACAUGCAAGUCGAACGGUAACAGGGAGCUUGCUCCGCUGACGAGUGGCGAACGGGUGAGUAAUGCGUCGGAACGUGCCGAGUAGUGGGGGAUAGCGCAGCGAAAGUUGUGCUAAUACCGCAUACGUACUGAGGUAGAAAGUGGGGGACCGUAAGGCCUCGCGCGAUUGGAGCGGCCGAUGUCAGAUUAGGUAGUUGGUGGGGUAAAGGCCUACCAAGCCGACGAUCUGUAGCUGGUCUGAGAGGACGACCAGCCACACUGGGACUGAGACACGGCCCAGACUCCUACGGGAGGCAGCAGUGGGGAAUUUUGGACAAUGGGCGCAAGCCUGAUCCAGCAAUGCCGCGUGCAGGAAGAAGGCCUUCGGGUUGUAAACUGCUUCUGUACGGAACGAAACGGUCUGGGUUAAUACCCUGGGCUAAUGACGGUACCGUAAGAAUAAGCACCGGCUAACUACGUGCCAGCAGCCGCCGUAAUAC
rnacentral:rRNA from 1 species